UUAAUGUUCAACAUGGACUCACGGCCUAUAUAAACACACACCUAAAGAACACGGUUAAUAAACCAAAAACUGCUAAGAGAGCAUAUUUCUUGAAAACGAUGGAGACAGCAAAAAAAUAUUCUCUAGCAAUGGUAUUUUUGUUAGCAUUUUUCAUCAUUGCAUCAGAUAUGGCUACAGAAUCACAAGCUAAAGGGGUGAGUGAGGAUAUUCUCCAAGAUUGUGUCAAUGAUGCUGAUUGUGUACGUAAACAUUGGCCUUGUCCAUCCGGCACUAUUCCUGUAUGCCUUCAACGCUCGUGUACAUGUGUACACUAAAUAAACUUUCAACAAUUAUAUUACUAGUUUAUAUAUUAAGUUAUAAAGUAAUCGUCAUGUCUAGACGAGAAUUAUGAAUAAAAUGGAUUUCAACAUAUUAAAGGUAGAAUAUUAAAAUAAUCUCAAUGUCUAAUAUAUCUAAAAAUCAAUGUUUGUAUA